rnacentral:snoRNA from 1 species
AAGACUAUACUUUCAGGGAUCAUUUCUAUAGUUUGUUACCAGAAGUUAUUAUCUACAGCUAUAUGCCAAUAAGUUAAGUAAC